AGACCAUGAUGAGGACACUCUAGAAGAAGGUCUUUGAAACGUUCCAUGCAUCGAGAAAAUGAUUCAUUUGGUUUUUGGCAAAACUGGAGGAUGUCGUUCGUAAGUUU
rfam:Cephalotus follicularis DNA, scaffold: scaffold2729, isolate: St1.